GGGCGGCUAGCUCAGUUGGUUAGAGCGCAUGCUCGACACGCAUGAGGUCACAGGUUCAACUCCUGUGUCGCCCA
rnacentral:tRNA from 2 species